AAGAGGGACAAUUUGUCUUCCUCUUUUCCAGUUUGGAAGUCUUUUCUUUCUUUCUCUUGCCUGAUUGCUUGGCUAGGACUUUCAUUACUAUGUUAAACAGGAAUGGUAAAAGUAGGCAUCCUUGACCUGUUCCAGUUCUUGGAAAGUCUUUCAACUCUUCCCCAUUUAGUAUGAUGUUAGCUGUGGGUUUGUCAUAUAUGAUCUUUAUUAUGUUGGAGUAUAUACACCACAUUUGUUGAGUGUUUUUAUCAUGAAUAAAUGUUAAAUUUUAUCAAAUGAGUUUUAUGCCUCUAUUGUGAUGAUUGUAUGGUUAACGUCCUUCAACCUGUGGAUAUGAUGUAUCAUGUUUAUUGAUUUGUGCAUGUUAAACCAUUCUUGCAUUUCUGGUGUAAAUCUCAGUUGAUCAUAGUAUCUUAUAUUUUUGAUGUGCUGUGAGAUUCAGCUUGCUUGUAUGUUUUUGAGGGUUUUUGCAUCUAUGUUCAUUGAUGAUAUUCGCCUGUAGUUUUCUUUUUUCUAUCUUUGUUGGUUUGAUAUCAGGGUGAUGUUAGACUUAUACAACAAAUUAGGGAGAAUUUCCACUUCUUUGAAUUUUCAAAAUAGUUUGAAUAGGAUGGUUAUUAGUUAUUUGUACAUUUGGUAAAAUUUGGUUGUGAAUUUAUGUGAAUUUAUCCAGUCCUGGGCUUUUCUUUUUUAGGAGACUUUUUAUUACUGAUUCAAUCUCACUACUCAUUAUUUGUCUAUUCAGAUUUUCUAUUUUUUCCUGAUUCAAUCUUGGUAAGUUAUAUGUUUCCAGGAAUUUAUCCAAUUUACUCUUGGUUUUCCAGUUUGUCAGCAUAUAGUUGUGCAUAAUAGUCCCUGAUAAGCUUUUGUAUUUCUGUGGUGUCAGUUGUAAUGUCUCCUUUUCAUUUCUGAUCUAUUUUUUUUAAUUUGGGUCUUCUCUCUUCAUUAGUCUAGCUGGCUGUUUAUUAAUUUUGUUUAUCUUUUUGAGGAACCAACAUUUUUCUUGAUCUUUUUUUUUAGUCUCUCUUUUCUUUAGUUCUGCUAUAAUCUGUGUCAUUUCUUCUGCUAAUUUGGGGUUUGAUUUGCUCUUCCUUUUUUAUUUCCUUGAGGUGCAUUGUUAGAUUGUUAGUUUGCAGUCUUUCUACUUUUUUGAUGUAGACAUUUAUUGCUAUAAACUUCCCUCUUAACACUGCUUUUGCUGUCUCCCACAAGUGUUGGUAUGUUGUGUUUCAACUUUCAUUUGACCCAGUAAUUUUAUUUCCAUUUUAAGGUUUUUAUUAGCCCAAUGGUCACUCAAGAGCAUGUUGUUUAAUUUGAUGUAUUUGUAUGGUUUCCAAAACUCCUCUUGGUAUUGACUUCUAGUUUUAUCCCAUUGCAGUCAGGAAUCUUUUGAGA